rnacentral:rRNA from 1 species
GGGGUAUUUAUCUUCGGAUAGAGAGACCGGCGCACGGGUGCGUAACGCGUAUGCAAUCUACCUUUUACAGAGGGAUAGCCCAGAGAAAUUUGGAUUAAUACCUCAUAGUAUAUAGACUCGGCAUCGAGAUUAUAUUAAAGUCACAACGGUAAAAGAUGAGCAUGCGUCCCAUUAGCUAGUUGGUAAGGUAACGGCUUACCAAGGCUACGAUGGGUAGGGGUCCUGAGAGGGAGAUCCCCCACACUGGUACUGAGACACGGACCAGACUCCUACGGGAGGCAGCAGUGAGGAAUAUUGGACAAUGGGCGCAAGCCUGAUCCAGCCAUGCCGCGUGCAGGAUGACGGUCCUAUGGAUUGUAAACUGCUUUUAUACGAGAAGAAACACUGCUACGUGUAGCAGCUUGACGGUAUCGUAAGAAUAAGGAUCGGCUAACUCCGUGCCAGCAGCCGCGGUAAUACGGAGGAUCCAAGCGUUAUCCGGAAUCAUUGGGUUUAAAGGGUCCGUANGCGGUUUAAUAAGUCAGUGGUGAAAGCCCAUCGCUCAACGGUGGAACGGCCAUUGAUACUGGUAGACUUGAAUUAUU